rnacentral:rRNA from 1 species
GAUGAACGCUGGCGGCGUGCCUAAUACAUGCAAGUCGAGCGAACGGACGAGAAGCUUGCUUCUCUGAUGUUAGCGGCGGACGUGUGAGUAACACGUGUAUAACCUACCUAUAAUACUUGUAUAACUUCGGGAAACCGGAGCUAAUACCGGAUAAUAUUUUGAACCGCAUGGUUCAAAAGUUAAAUACGUUCUUGCUGUCUCUUAUAGAUGUAUCCUCGCUUCAUUAGCUAGUUGGUAAGGUAACGGCUUACCAAGGCAACGAUGCAUAGCCGACAUGAGAGGGUGAGCGGCCACACUGGAACUGAGACACGGACAAGACACCUACGGGAGGCAGCAGUAGGGAAGAUUCCGCAAUGGGCGAAAGCAUGACGGAGCAAAGCCGCGUGAGGGAUGAAGGUAUGCGGAUCGGAAAACUCUGUUAUUAGGGAAGAACAUAUGUGUAAGUAAAUGUGCACAUCUUGACGGUAACUAAACAGAAAGCAACGGCUAACUACGUG